rnacentral:tRNA from 10 species
CUCAGAUGGAGUGAUGAGCUACCCAGUCCCAACUUCCCAGGCACCCUUGAACAAGGGGCCAGGGGUACAUGGCAGCCUUGUCUCUAUCAACCUGUGAAGUUGCUUAUGGUGUUAAAAUGUUGCCAGAGAUCAAGGAUGUCCAGACAAACACCAGCUAAAUCUAAAAAGAAGUCAGAAAACUAAUACAAGCUUAAAAUACCAAUUUCAGCACAGAUAUGCUUAUCUUUUAGACUUACUUUAUUUACCCACCUCACAUGACAUGGGGAAGAAUUCCUGAAGAACGUUUUCCCACUGAUUGUUUAAAAUCCUUCCUCUCAAUAAAGUCCUUUCUAAGUACACAUGGUUCCGUUUCAUUCUCUGGCUCAUCCUCUUAAUCACCUGCCUUUAGCGUCUCUAAUUUACUUAUUUGACAGUAUUUAUUGAGCAUCUGCUAUGGGCCAGGCACCAGGUUAAGAUGGCAGGAAGCCGAAUGAGACACGGUCCUGACCUGCGAGGGCUCGUGGUUGAGUCACGAAAAACUACACUGAAAGAAUGGCAAAUAGCGAGAUGUGUGCCAGGAAAAGACACGUGGCAAGUAAACUCACUCCUGGAGGAAAUCAAGAAAGAGAAUGGUUGGGUUUUCUCAAUAAUCCAUAGACUAUCAGGGCCAGAAGAGACUUUACAGAUUAUCUGUUCUAACCCCCUCAUUUUAUAAAUGGAAAACAGAGAGGGGAAGAGCCACACAGUUUUAAAGCUGGGGCCAACGCGUAAUGAAUUCUUUCUCUUUUCCUGGCUGAUAAUUUGUUGUGUGUCUCUCAAAUUGUCUCUUGAGGUAGGUAAAAUAGAAAUCAUCAGUAUACCACUGAAAGAAAUCUAUUUUGUUUUCUGACUAAAAAUCUACAAGAUAUACCUCAUCAACAUUUGUUUGAAAAUGUGACUAUUCUUUGAAGAUUACUAUCAUCGAUUCACAUUCAGUGCCUUGCCUGGGUAUUUUUAAGUUGUUCCUUAUUCCAGCAUUCCUACCACUAGUCUCAGCUAUCACAGUCCUUUAUAGAAAACGUCAUCAUGAUUCUUGUUGUUUCUCUACAUUUACAUAGCACCUCGGAGUUUAAGAAGCAUUUUCAGAUCCAUUGCUUCCACUGGGGGAGUCAAGUUGUUGGCUUGAUAGCUUUAGAGGGACAUGACAAGUAGAAGGAGGUUUGGAAAGGAGCAAAGCACGUGGUGACAGUGCUGGGGAACAAGACCUACAAAGCCGGGUGACAGGAGUAGGACGCCUGGGACUGCUCUUGUGGGGCCAGAUCACCAGGGGAGGGCUAGGGAAUGGAUUUCUAGUCCAUGAAGUCUAGUGAGCGGAAAGGAAACACAUCAAUAAACACAUCAAUAAACAUACUGAAUAAUGCCUGUGUGCAGGGCACCAUGCUAAGUGGAUUCAAAGAUGAGUGAUCAACGUACCCCCUUCAAAGAAUGUUUUGGAUUUCUGUUCAAUCUCCUUAAGCCACCGGGAGUGGAAGGCAUGAGUGAGCAGAAGCCACUGAGCAGAGAGAAGUGGAUGUACCAAGCUCCUGCUGUGUGGCCUCGGCUUCUCCAGGAGGUUUGGACUUAACCCCUAUUAGUGACUCAGGCUAAGGCUCUUCAUGGAAGAAUGGGCUGCCUCCCCGGGACUUGCUGGAAGGUGACAUGGGUGCAUUUAGGCAGAGUGGAGGGUGAUCUGUCACGGAAAUGGUAGACCCUGGUCCUUUCCCUUGAACAUCUCAGGUUGAACACUGGGGCGGUGCUUCAUUAUGAGCCAUUAAGUGGAUUCUCAUGAGUGAGUUUCUGUUGGCCUUAUAGACAAUGGGGUUUUAAUCAUGUUUAUCUAGGCUAAGAGAGGACAAGAGAACCAUUUGUGUACUUUCAAAGAAUCAGGGCCCCAUGGCUGAGUGCUGCUGGGGACGUAGAGGAGCAGCUAAGAGAGCCCAGAGGAUGAUCACGGAACUGGGACAGGGAGCGCCCAAAACCAUGUGAGAGGCCAUGGGUGGGGGGUGACUGAGAAACAAGCUACUAACCACCUUGAAAUACAUGAAGGGUAAGAAGAAACUCCCACAGGACUCUCAAAUCAGAAUGUAAAGGUAAUGCAGGGAGGGGAAUGGACGCAGGAGCUGGAGGAGUAUAGAAUUGUUACAAAGCAACCGUGAAGAUGAAGACUUUGGAAAGGAAGGACACAUUGGAACUAGCCUCACACAGGUGUUAGACUAGUCGUGGGAACUUCAGACCCACUACAGUGCUGCAUGCUUCUGGAUAGCAGGUCUUCUUGCUAAUUUAAAAUAGCCCCUGGCUCUCUCACCAGAUUGGCCACAACCUCCCAGCAGACCCCCUGGCCUCCCUGUGCUGGCCCCAACUACACUCUCAUGCUCCUUUCCCACUUCUCCCACCUCAUCUUGCAGAUUCCCUCCUCCAUAGCCUCUUUCUGGAUCUCUCCCACGGAUGUCUCAUCCUUCAAGGCUCACCUAACGUGCUACCUCCUCCAGGAAGCCUUUCCUGAUCCAUGCCACCAGAUGGUACAUGCUCCCUGCGGGAACCCAUAUAGCACAUUGUGCCUCUUUAUGGCACUUUCACUUCCUCCUGCAUUCUAACAAAUUGUGUGCUUGUCUGAGCUCUCACCCCCACCUCUCCUUAGAAAACUUCAAGGGCAGAGACCUGAUCCUUUCAUUUGUGUAUUCACAGUGCCAGGGCAGGAACCAGUGUGCCAUAGACACUCAAUAAAUGUUAAAUUGCAUUUCAGCCAAUGCAUACCUUGGACAAAGUUUCUGUGUUCCUUUAGAGGUUAUGACCGAGACUCGGGCUUAAACACUUGCCUCUGUCACUAGCCAGGUGAUCUAGGGUAACUUAAUUCAUCUCUGCACCUAGGUUUUCUCAUCUGUAAAAUGAGCACAACAGGACCUACCUCCAAAGGACACUGUGGUAGUCUUCAUAAAGCCCUUAGUAGAUUGUCUGGACACACUGUGAAUGCUCAGUAGAUGUAAGACAGGGUUAGCAAUGUGCAGUAUAAGGGACAUAAUUUCCUUUCGAUUGCCAAGAGUGCAGUGAUUCAUAUGCUCCUUUUCUACCUGGCAGUCUUUAUCUUCUGUAAAGCACAUCUUUGCACAAAGCAGCUUCAUAUCAUUUCAAUGCUGUUAGAUAUCUGGGCGCCAUAUACACAGGAAUGCUAGUAGGCAGUUUGUUAACUAGGAAUCAAAUAUACCAAUCAAAGAGAUUUUCCUCAAAGUGAUUUGCCAAUUCAUCCAUCCAUCAAGCCUGUGCCAUUACAAGCUGCGUGAGUCCUCCAAGGCCUGCGAAAAUGAAAAUGAACAAAACCAAACCCCUGUUCCCAUGUUGAUCACAGCCUCCCCGGGCAAAUAUAGCAAAGACCUAGAUAGAACUAUAAAAAGAGGCUGCGAGAGUCCAAAGAGGAGAGUGGCCGCCCCUGUGCAUGGUGAGGAGAGGUUGGGGAAGUGGGAGCGCCAGCAGGCCUCAUGGAAGAGGGGGUGUGCAGCUGGACCCUGCCAGGUGAGUAGGAAGAAGUUUGUCAGAGAGAGGAGGUAGAAGCAUCUCCAAAAACAGGAAGCAGCAAGUGCAAAGAGACAGAGUCCUUGAGUCCACAUUCGGCAAAUGCUGAGGUUGGUGGCCCUAAAAGGCCCAGAAAAUCAAUCCACAUUCUUCUAAUACUGAUGUGGAUUUUAUUUAAAAUAGAAACACUUCCACCAAAUUAGUUAUGAAUCCCAGAAGAGAUUAUCUUAUUGCUAAAAUAAAUGUUCUUUUCUUAUUUCUUCCAAAAUGAUUUGAUGGUUAUUUUUCUGAAGCAUAUUUCUGAUUUCUCUUGAAAACAAGUGCCUUCAGAAAGUCCAUGUCAGCCAAGGAGAAACAACUCAAAAGUAGCCCAGGAUCACAACUAUUUAGCCCCACCAAGGAUCAAAUUCUUCAUAUUCUCUAAACUACCCCCCCAGCACAUGGAGUGAUUUCAGCUCUUCAAAGCCAGUAAAGAGAUAAGUUCAUUGAAACUCAAGAUGACAGGCACAGAGCUCAUUAUAUCUGGUUUCAUUUGUUCCUUCAGUUAUUCUCUGAGGACAGUGGACAGUGAAUGCAGCCAGACGUCUCUUUCAGAAGAGCACAAAUGGAGGAGGAAAUUUUGUUCAUAACUUUGCUGGGAGAAUGUUUGGCCAAAUGCAGUGGCCUGAGGCCAGAAAAUGCCAUUUUUUAUCUCCAGUGCAGACAGGCAGAGAGGAGGUGUAAUGGAUUUAGCAAGAUAAAGACUUGGACCCACAGAAAAAGAAACACACACACAUCCACAUGCACACGUGAUCCUCACGGAAAAUUAGACUUCACUUCCACCUCUUGAGGUGGGAAUUGUAGUCUUACUGAAAUUACAGAGACGAAGCUACGGUCAUAUUACACAAAGCUGUAUCUAUCAGUGAAGGGUGGCCUCUUGGGAAUGAACUAUUUAAACAACAAUUGCGUGUCCAGAAUUCAUGAUGUGAGCAGAUUUUUCCUGAAAGAGGCAACUUGGCCUGUUGGGAUCAGAACUGUUGCUUAUUUGAUUGUUUUCCUUUUGGUCUCAGACGCUGGGGUCUCAGUGUCAGCUGGAGACUGAAAACUUCAGCCUGCAGGGAGAGAUGGGACAGAGGUGGCCCUGAGGGCCUCUGAGUCCUGGCUCCAGGUGUCCCAUUCGUCGGCCCUUCCUGUGCUUGGCUAUGCAAGCCAAUCCAUUCUCUGCGAUUGCUUGAAAUUUGUAAAAAAGAAAGAGAAUGAGGCUUUGUCAUCAUUGUGAGCUUGAGUAAAUCAUUUCUCACUUCUAGACCUCGGGUUUCUCACUUGUUAAGAGGGUGGGGGUGGGAGACUAAGCAAAUCCUCAGGUUCUUAAAAUUUGUUGAUUUAAUUGAUCUGGAAAAGGGAUUUUUUCCACCAUUUUGGUUUAGGAAUAUUUUAUGGGGCCCAGGAUGCAGAGGUUCCUUGAGUUCCUCAGUGAAGGACCGCAGUGACUUCAUGGUUGGGGUGGCAGUUAACCUGAGCAGCAAAGACUGCUGGGUAGAGCUAGGCGCUGCUUUUCAGAACCAAAGGCUUCACCUAUUUGAAACUUGUAUUAUGGAGGCAUGUUACAGAGGAAAGAGCACAAGACUUAGAAUAAUUGUCCUAGAUUUGAGUCUAGCCACUAAACUAACUCACUGAGAUUGUGGCCAGGGCACACCCCAAUUUGGGGACUCAGUUUACUUGUGGGUGAAGUGAAUAUGGGAGACAGACUCCCAGGAGGCUCCAUGGUCCAUGCUCCCUGGUGUACCCACCCUUGUGGGAUCCCUUCCCUCCAGUGUGGGUGGCACCUGUGACUUGUUUCUAACCAACAGAAUAUGGCGAUGGUGGUGGACGUCAGUGUCAUGAUAUUAAUAUAUUCCAGCGGACUUGAACACCCAUCUUACUAGCCGACUUUUGCUGUCAACUGUCUCCCUUGCUGGCUUUGAUGGAGUAAGCUGCCAUAGAGAGAGGUCCUGGAGAAGAACUGAGGGUGGCCUCUGGCUGAGGGCCCACAAGAAGCUGAGGCCCUCAGGCCAACAACCCUCAAGGAACUGAAUUCUGUCAACAACCACAUGAUUUUGGAAGCAGAACCUUCCCCGGUCAAGCUGCAGAUAAGAUCCCCAGCCCUGACUGACUCCCGGAUUAAAGCACCGUAAGAGAAUCUAAAACAGAGGAAUCAGCUAAACUGUGCCUGGACUCCUGACCCACAGGAACUGUGAAAUAAUAAAUGUGCUGUUUAAAAGUACGAAGUUUGUGGUAAUUUGUUAUGCAGCAGUAGAUAAGUAACACAACAAAGCAGUUAUAACCUUCUGUACCUGACAUCCUGUGAGCAUGACAAUACUCUUCUUAUGAUACCAGCAUUACACAUGUAACAGAAACCACUCCAUUAUGACAUACACAAACAUAUUGUAAGCUGCUGUUACUAUGCUGGGUUGAGAAUUAUUCAUCUUUCUAGAACUCCUAGGGUACUUGUUCUGUAUUUAGAUUCUCAUUUAAUCAGGACUCAUUUCCAGGCUUCUUCCUGCUGAUUGUAAAUACCAUGCUCACACACACAGGUCCACACUCACACACAGGCCCACACUCACACACACAGGUCCACACUCACACACACAGGCCCACACUCACACACACACAUCCACACUCACACACAGGCCCACACUCACACACACAGGUCCACUCUCACACACAGGCCCACACUCACACAGGCCCACGUUCACACACACAGGUCCACAUUCACACACAAGAUCCACACUCACACACACAGGUCCUGCAUCUCGCUGAAUUUAAUUAAGGAUCAACCUGAAAUAAAAU